GAUGAACGCUGGCGGCGUGCCUAAUACAUGCAAGUCGAGCGAACAGAUAAGGAGCUUGCUCCUUUGACGUUAGCGGCGGACGGGUGAGUAACGCGUGGAUAACCUACCUAUAAGACUGGGAUAACUUCGGGAAACCGGAGCUAAUACCGGAUAACAUAUUGAACCGCAUGGUUCAAUAGUGAAAGGCGGCUUUGCUGUCACUUAUAGAUGGAUCCGCGCCGUAUUAGCUAGUUGGUAAGGUAACGACUUACCAAGGCAACGAUACGUAGCCGACCUGAGAGGGUGAUCGGCCACACUGGAACUGAGACACGGUCCAGACUCCUACGGGAGGCAGCAGUAGGGAAUCUUCCGCAAUGGGCGAAAGCCUGACGGAGCAACGCCGCGUGAGUGAUGAAGGUCUUCGGAUCGUAAAACUCUGUUAUCAGGGAAGAACAAAUGUGUAAGUAACUGUGCACAUCUUGACGGUACCUGAUCAGAAAGCCACGGCUAACUACGUG
rnacentral:rRNA from 1 species